GCCAUUAGCUCAGUUGGUUAGAGCGUUGUGCUAAUAACACAAUGGUUGCGGGUUCGAGACCUGCAUGGGGCA